CCCCUCUCAGGGUCACACCUGGAGAGUUCCCAGUACUCUACCAGUCUCGACUAUAGGAGGGAGAGUCAGAGAGAGGUCUAUCCAUUCCAUUCCUAUCUUGAGCAGUGGCUAGAGAGUGGAAGGCAAUCUGCUACAAGU
rnacentral:snoRNA from 1 species